CGGAGGUACUCGAGUGGCGAACGGGUGAGUAACACGUGGGUGAUCUGCCCUGCACUCUGGGAUAAGCCUGGGAAACUGGGUCUAAUACCGGAUAGGACCAUGCUUUAGUGUGUGUGGUGGAAAGUUUUUUCGGUGUAGGAUGAGCCCGCGGCCUAUCAGCUUGUUGGUGGGGUAAUGGCCUACCAAGGCGGCGACGGGUAGCCGGACUGAGAGGUUGGUCGGCCACAUUGGGACUGAGAUACGGCCCGG
rnacentral:rRNA from 1 species